CAGCGCCACGAGUGGCAAUCGUGUAUUUGGCCUAAAGCGUCCGUAGCCGGAUUUGUAAAUCUUUUGUGAAAUCGUUGAGCUCAACUUAACGGCGUGCAGAAGACACUGCGAGUCUUGAGACCGGGAGGAGAUAGAGGUAUUCUAGGGGGAGCGGUAAAAUGCUAUAAUCCCUGGAGGACCACCAGUGGCGAAGGCGUCUAUCCAGAACGGAUCUGACGGUGAGGGGCGAAAGCCAGGGGAGCGAACCGGAUUAGAUACCCGAGUAGUCC
rnacentral:rRNA from 1 species